rnacentral:rRNA from 1 species
CCUACGGGAGGCAGCAGUGAGGAAUAUUGGACAAUGGGCGCAAGCCUGAUCCAGCCAUGCCGCGUGCAGGAAGACGGUCCUAUGGAUUGUAAACUGCUUUUAUACAGGAAGAAACACUCCCUCGUGAGGGAGCUUGACGGUACUGUAAGAAUAAGGAUCGGCUAACUCCGUGCCAGCAGCCGCGGUAAUACGGAGGAUCCAAGCGUUAUCCGGAAUCAUUGGGUUUAAAGGGUCCGUAGGCGGUUUAAUAAGUCAGUGGUGAAAUCUGGUCGCUCAACGAUCAAACGGCCAUUGAUACUGUUAGACUUGAAUUAUAAGGAAGUAACUAGAAUAUGUAGUGUAGCGGUGAAAUGCUUAGAUAUUACAUGGAAUACCAAUUGCGAAGGCAGGUUACUACUUAUGGAUUGACGCUGCUGGACGAAAGCGUGGGGAGCGAACAGGAUUAGAUACCCUGGUAGUCCACGCCGUAAACGAUGGAUACUAGCUGUUCGGAGCAAUCUGAGUGGCUAAGCGAAAGUGAUAAGUAUCCNCGNGGAGUAAGUGUGAGAGUAGAAGUUAAAGUAAGUUAGAGNGNGAGAGNGCGAGACGACGACGAGGAGGAGG